CACGAUUGUGCGCUGAGUUCUGGAUUCUAGUACCAAUUAUGAGUGACUAUGCAUGUUGUGCUAUUUGUCAAGAGGUUUAAAUAACCAGGAAAAGACGUGGUGUUUCUCAGCACCCCGCUGGCCGGCUGGCCCGGCCCGGGACCAGGUGUGGAGAGAGAUUCCCGCACGCGGGAGCUAUCUGAAGAAAUGUGCACGGCCAGAGUAGCGAGUGUGAGGCACACACAAAAUUAUCUGAGAACAGUAAUAGAAGGGCACAGGACAUGUGUGAGAACUGAGGCAGGAAGAUCGGAAGGUGAAGAUGCUCACAGGACAACUCGUGCUGGAAACAGGUGCAGAUCGGGAAAUGGUGGCAGGUCUUAAAAGAUUCUCCAGCACCCUCUGCAGUAGAACUUUCUAGAAUGUUCAUGAAAUACUGAAGAAUACAAAGAAUCAGGAAAGACGUUCAUGUCAAGAACCAAGACUUUGGUGUUGGACGUACCUCUUGAGAGUGACAGGAAGGCCUAAAGGAAGAAAGAAAUUGUGGACAGAAGAAAGAACAAGAGGGACAGCACGGAAGAACAAAGAGGAAGAACUUCCCUACAGUGGGACCAUGCUACAAUCUCAGGGUAAGAGAUGAAGGAUCCAUGUGGAUUAAGAAGACUGCUUAGAGGCAAAUGUUGACUGCCCUACGUAUAUUCAAUGUGUACUUUAGAUUAUUAACAAUGUGAUCCCCUCAAAUCUACUGAGUGGGUGGUAGGAAAAUUCAGACAUCUGGGCAAUCAAAAUAGUUUCCAAGUAUCAAUUGUAACAAAGUAUCCUACGAUAGGACUCAGCCAC
rnacentral:lncRNA from 1 species